AAAUCAGGCAGAGAGCAGACACAGCAGAAACCAGUGGAAGGUGCAGAUUGGUGGGAGGAGCUGAGAGUUGAGGGGAGAGAGUUCAUGAAUAUUUAUUUAUUUGCUCUCUAAAAGGCUGCAAGCGGUGAACGGCUAAUGCAGAGAAGAGGAGAAGUCUAGUGGAGCUGCCGUUGCAGAGACCAGCGUCAUGGGGAGAGCUGCCCAGCAAACCCUCCUCGCUUUAUUCUGUCUAGCAGCAGCGGUUUGUGAGGAUGAGGCACAAACAGCAGUGAAUUCAAAGUGCUGUGGAAUUCCUGGACCACGAGGACAUCCUGGACUUCCAGGAUUAAGUGGUCCUCCAGGGCUCCCUGGGGAGCCAGGAACACCAGGGCAAAGAGGUAAAAUAAUAAAAUAUUAAUUCAGAAUCUUUUGUGCUUUUAGGCUCCACUGUAAUGGCAGGAGAUCCUGGGCCAAGAGGGAACGUACUAAAGAGCAGAGGGGAACGUUGUGAGUUAACUAUCCAGGGGAGGUUUUUAGACUGCGUGGAUCUUCCCAAAAGUGCAUGCACAAAGGGGUGGGUUCUCUUCUCACUUACACUGGUGAACACCCCAGCUGGAACCAGUCGGGUACUGGUGUCACUGAGAGCAUGUCCCUCUCUGCCACUACCCAACUCCACUCAUUGCCGUGGAGCAGUGGUGAAGGCACGGCUUUGCCUCACCCUCAACGCACCACCCUAGACAGCUUCAUGUCUGAGCACCUCCAGUGAGUGGAUUGGGCCAGUCUCAGAGAAGGUUUCAGAGUAGCAGCCGUGUUAGUCUGUAUCCGCAAAAAGAAGAA